AUUUGAAGCACUUGCAAUAUCUCCUGGUAUACUGUGAAAAAUGUUGCUAUGUCUGGGAGGAUGACACAGUUCUGGGAGCAGGGCUUUUUGUGCAGGUGUGGAGUUUGCUCACUGAGAAUGUAAUUUUGAGCUAGAGAAUUCUCCCCUUGGAGAUGCUCAGGAGGUGGCAGCUUAGCCCUGCCAGCAAUCCUGCCCCAGCUCAGACAGCCCAGCCGGCCUGCCUCUCCCUCCAUGUGGUGUGCGUACAUAUACGCACACCUUCCUGCCUGCAUGCAACUCUCCUGUCAGAGGAUCCUGUCCUUGAACUGAACAAAGCCCUCACAAGCCAUGCCAUGAGUUGAGUCGCUUACCUCUGUCUCGGGAGGAGUUUAUCUCCCUUGACAAGAUUUUGUCUGGUGUUAGCGGCGGGGCUGGUGACAGGCUGUGCAUGCAGCAGCAUGCGACCCCGGCUCCUGGCCUCGGCGCGGGCAGUCGUCAGAGCUGUCACGCAGUCAGAACAAGUUAAUUCAACGCGUGAAGGGCGAGGUGCGAGCUGUAAUAAUAUCAGGCCUCUGGAGAGGGUGCUGUCAGACAGCGUGUACUGGCGGCUGCCCCAGCUGCUGCCUCCCGCCUACGAGGAUGCAAGCUGACAGGUGGCAGGUUUAUUUGCCCGUAGUCGGCCGGGGAGCACGCGUGUUAAUUUUCUGUCUGUUUGGCAGAGCUGGUGAUACCGCUCGCUGCAUGCCUCUCACCUGGCAAGAGCGCCUGAGGAAGCAGGACGUGCUUGACGUGGUGGCCGAGGGGCUGUGGUGGCCAGGGCCCCGGUCUGCUGUGGCUAGUGGGCUGGGCCGCUGCCCAGUUUUCGUGCCCUGCUCCUCUUCCCUCACGCAGACUACCCUGGCUUUAUAAUCUGCUCUUCCUUUUCUGACAGGAGGCUGGUGUUUUUGGAGGCUAGCUGCCUUUAAAAGUUUCUGGGCAGCUGGCCCUCCUUGCUUGUGUUGGUGUGUACUGUGUAAGUAUACCAACUAUCCACAUAUACGCACAUCGUUUCUUGAGUAUUUUCAGCUCUGCAUCAGGCAAAGUGAAGCAGUCUCUGCCUGUAAAGUGU